rnacentral:siRNA from 1 species
AGGCCCGAUAUGAUUGGACUCAUC